CUUGGGCCACUCCCGUGGCAUAUGGAGGGUCCCAGGCUAGUGGUCUAAUCGGAGCUGCAGCUGCCAGCCUAUACCACAGCCACAGCAACGCGGGAUCCGAGCCGAGUCUGCAACCUACACCACAGUUCACGGCAACGCCGGACUGUUAACCCACUGAGCAAGGGCAGGGACCGAACCCGCAACCUCAUGGUUCCUAGUCGGAUUCGUUAACCACUGCGCCACGACGGGAACUCCUAUAGGAGUGGCCAGCUUGCUGGAGAAUAACAUCAAUUUCAAAUUCUUGGCUUGGGUAUAGAAUUCAUAGGCCGGCCACUUCUUCCAUUUGGCAGAGACAAAAUCAAGUCCAUCGGAUGGUGGCUUUGCAUGUCCAUACUUGUCAGCGUGACCAAAGCACAGCCUUAAGGGAGCAAAGGCUACAGCAAGAUGAAGAAGUUCAAACUCAAAAGUGAGAUUCACUGGUUUCAAGGAAUUUUUUUUUUUUUAAAUGAGACUCUCAUUCCUUAAAGACAUACCCUCAACUGAAAAUACACACGCCAAAACCAAAACAACCCAAAAAAACCCCACCAUGAAUUACUCUUUCACCAAAUUCCUACAAAACCACGGUGGAUCAGCCUAUUCAUAAGAAAAUGACGUCUUCCACAGCAUGUAUCUCAAGCAAAAACUAAGCUGGGCAAAUAGUCAAGCCUAUUUUCUUUACUGUUCUAGGACAUUUCAUGGUGUCUAUUUCUCAGUAUUGGGUUUCUAAUUAAACUGGAUUUGCUUAGGUUUGUUUGAAAUGGUAUGUAUAUACAUUUAGCUAUUAAUAAGUAUAACAAUAUACUUGUAGUAAGUUCAUUAUAUACUUAUAUGAUAUACAUAGAAUAUGUUAUUAACUCAUCAGUAAGUAUAAGAAAUCAUCGGCUGACUGUGGCCCCAAGUUGUCCCAGAGGGGAUUUGAAUUUUUGGGGGGUGUACACCACAGCAAUUUAUAAUUUUUAAGGGUUAUACUCCAUUUAUAGUUAUAUUGGCUGUAUUUCCUAUGAUUUACAAUACAUCCUUGUAGUUUAUUUAAUUUUUGCUUUUUAGGGCCACACCUACGGCAUAUGGAAGUUCCCAGGCUAGGGGUUGAAUGGGAGCUACAGCUGCCAGCCUACACCACAGCCACAGCAACUCGGGAUUUGAGCUGCAUCUGCAACCAACACCACAGCUCACAGUAACACUGGAUCCCCGACCCACUGAGCGAGGUCAGGGAUCAAACUCACAUCCUCAUGGAUACUCAUUGGAUUUUUUUCCACUGUAGCACAACAGGGAACUCCUAUUUUAUACUUAGUGGUUUGUACCUCUUAAUCCCCUACCCCUGUUGCCCUCCUUCCCUCUCCCUGGUAACCACUAGUUUAUUCUUGGUAUCUGUUUUGUUUUUUUUUUUAAAUAUUCACUCAUUUGUUGUAUUUUUCAGAUUCCACAUAUAAGUGAUAUCACAUAGCAUUUGUCUUUCUCUGACUUAUAUCACUUAGCAUAAUGCCCUCUAAGUCCAUCCAUGUUGUUACAAAUGGCAACAUUUCCUUCUUAGGAGGCACAUGGGGGUUUAAUAAACCUACUGAGGAUAAAGCUCAGCAGCUGUUCCAUGCCCUAAGCAAGUUGUCUGCUGAUUUCUUAGCAUGAACAAUUAAACCUGAAAAUAAACUUUUUAUUAAAUGCAAAGCUAGAGUUAUUAAAAGUGGCAUAUACUGGGCUAUGACUUCACUGAUAAUUGAAUUAGUACACUGUCAUUUUUCUUUACUUUGCCUCAAUGUGUUCUUCAUUAAAGUGAAAAAAAUAACAAUUUUUAAAAAAGCAUAUUAUCCUUAAUCCAUUGCAUUAGCCUAGUUAUUAGUUAAAUCAUUGUUGGAAGGAAAAGUGGUCCCACUGCUGUUCUUCUAUUAAAUGACUAUAACUUUAAAUGAGCUGUAGCUAACGGAAGAGAGCUCAGACUGUCUUCUGAAACUGUAGCAGUUGCAAGAAAACAAAAAUACAGAAGUUCCAAUUACUUCCUAAUGUUCACUUCACAUAUCAUAUAUGAAAUCAAAUUCCAGAAAUUAUAAUGUCCAUUCCUGUGAAAUGGCUGCAAAUUCAACCUGGUUUUAAAAUUUUGUGUUGAAGAAAGAUUUUUUUUUUAAAAAAAAGAACUUAAAAUCUUUACCAAGCACCUGGUAGGUCUACUGAUGUUGUUUUUAGUUCUACUGACAAGCUCUAUAAAACACAGGUGCUUAGGAGUUCCCGUUGCGGCUCAGCAGUUAACGAACACGACUAGGAUUCAUGAGGAUGUGGAUUCGAUCCCUGGCCUCGUUCAGUGGGUUAAAGAUCUGGCGUUGCUGUGAGCUGUGGUAUAGGUUGCAGAAGCUGCUUGGAUCUGGUGUGUCUGUGACUGUGGUGUAGGCCAGCAGCUGUAGUUCUGAUUGGACCCCUUGCCUGGGAACCUCCAUAUGCCGCGGGUGUGGCCCUAGAAAAAUUAAAAAUAAAACAUAGGUGCUUAAAGUUGUUUUGUUUUUAAACAUUCUCACUCUAAGAUGGCACAAACUGUUAAGAAAGUAAUAUACUAAAACUAGGUAUUUGUAUUGCCAACCCAUAAUCCUGAAUAUCUUUUAUUCAGAACAUAGCUUGUGUAGCUUCCACUUGGUUCCUUAUUCAUUUUCUCCUUUCACUUUAUUAAAAUAAAUCAGUAAAACUAUCCACAAUUUAAGACAACAGCAAGGCCUAUAAAUGCAGGUUUCGGAUUCAAAUUUCUCUGGGAAAUGUUUUCCUUCCAAUUCUCUCUGCCCUGGGAUUUCAUGUUUUCCCUUUUAUUGGUGGCAUCCAAUACCUCCAAUUUUUAACAUUUUCAGACAUGUGUUUCUCUGUAGGUUAAAAGGAAGGAAGUUUAUUCAAACAGCUAAUUCCCAAGUUUAAAGUUCUCAUAUAAUGUAGUUUUUGCUCACGUCUCAAUGACAUAAUUCCCUAAGCUUAAACCAUCAAACAUGAUUACCUCUCUUUGUGCAAAAAGCCACAUACUACAAAUAGUUUUUGUCACAAAACGGUAUUCAUGUAUAAAAGAAAGAAUAGAUACAAGAUUUUACUUAUAAAAGAUUGCUAAAAUAUGUAGCUCCCUUAUAAUCAUAUACUGUUGAACUGCUCCAACUGACUAGUUCUCAACACCAUUUUCUCAGCAAACUUUGCUUUCUCUCUUCCUGCUAAGCAGAAACCUUAAAAAACAGAUCAGAAGCAUUUUAAUGAAGUAGAUGAAAACAGCCAAAAGUUCUUGAAGCCCUACAGAAAAACUGUAGAUGUGAUCAGGCCCUGACAUGUCACGUCUUCUGUACCCUCAUCGUCUCUCCUGCCCUAUUUCACAUACUCUGGUAAGUCGGUUCCUCUGGCUACUGGAUACGACCUGAGAUUUAAAAAGCAAAAACGCUGUCAUAAUACGCUUUGUAAAAUCUUGAAUGUCGUAAAGGAAGUGGAAGAGGCAUUUACCUACAGUGUGAUUUGGUUUUUGCCAUAAAAAAGCAAAUUUAAACCUGAGAAGUAAAGAGCCCAUUGACUGCAUUCACUUACAGGAGAACAAGACUUCCUGACAGAAGUUCAAAUGCACCCUACCCCGUGGGCUGGGGAGUGUUAUACACCCCACACUGUCUUGGGGUGAAGCAGGAUUAUGGCUACGACAAUACUCCACAGUGGCCAGAUGCCACAAGUACAGUCAGUAGCAACGGAGUCAUUUCUAAGUCAGCUACAGAAAGUAACCCCAAAUAUCACUUCCCUAGAAAUACUGGCCAGUGCUCUAUCGGGAAAAUAGAUUUUGAAGAAUGACCCAUAAAACUUCAAAAUUGAGACCCCAUUCCUUAUCAUUCAAUAGGAAAUUUAAAAAAGAAAACCGAAAGGAUUUCGCUUUCCUAACGCAUGGCUACUCCUCUGCUUGGUUGUUCUUAAAAAUAAUUUAUGUAAAGCAGGAUUUUCUCUAAAUAUACCGUGCUCUCUCAUACACAUUGCAAAUGAUAUUUGCAUACACCGAGUGUAUGCACUGAUACACACAUGGUAAAAAGUUAAAAAAUAUAGACUGCAUAAAUCAGAAGCUGAUUUUAAACAGACACCAACUUCAACAGAUUUGUUUGCAAUUUCUGAAUUCUUCAGGUAGAAAAGAUCUUUCUUGCUGGCUACGAUUGUAGAAGAUGUUUAUGUUCUAUAGAGUGUGCAAAAAUGCUUCUCCAUAUAAACAAAGAAAGAAAGGUUCCAGGAUCUUGGUAUUCUAACCUUGCCUUUGCUAUUAAAUAUCCAUCCAAUGACUGUGAGGAGACUGGUGAAAUCAGCCGGUCAUGCUACAGUAAACAUGGUAUUUUGUGCACUGCCCAAGACAUUUUUUCUCAUGAAUAUAAGUCACCUGCCAUUUAUUAUGAGAUUUUUUUUUCCCCGACUGACACCCCAUUAUGUAUAUUCAGUCAAGCUCAAACAAGAUUUCAAGUGAUCAAUACACUAUUGGUGCUGAAAGUCUAUUAGCCACUCUAGCAAUAAACUCUGCAGCGAAACGAAGAAUGGAGAAAUAUUUAGUGAACUGAAUUACACAGAAGUCCAUGUUUAGGGGCAAGGGAACAGAAAGAGGGAGGCAGAAAAGCAAGGGGAAGACAAGGGAAGGAAGACAUUUUUCCUAAUAAAAAUCAGCUUUCUGGAGCCUGACCAAUGAUCAAAUGCAUUAAAUGCCUAAGAAUUGUUUCAAAAAUAUCUUAAAUUACAUGGUGAGGUCUCUAAAGAAACAGGGAGGGGUCUUCCUCUGGGUCCCUUUCUGAGAACAGAGAGUUGCUUCCAUAAAGAACCAUACGUGGAAGUAUUUGAUAUCCCAAAGUGGAGAAGGCAGGCCGAUGGUAAAAUCCUGCACCAUCCAGUGUCUAUGUGUCCAAGAGCAAUGCCGUGUUUGAACACUUUUCACUUUAUAUCUGAAGCGUAGCAGAUCUCAACAGGGAGCUGAGCUCAAGAAGUAUUCUGGUUCAUCUAUGCAUUAGGAAAGCUAACUCAAUAGCCGCCAAAGGAUUUCACCUGGCACAAAAGAAUGCUGCU
rnacentral:lncRNA from 1 species